CAGUUAAUUAAUUACUUAUAACUAGUAUAUUUAAUCAUUCUCCAUCAUUUCUCAUCAACUCGUUCAAAUAUUAAAAGCGUACGUGUGGCGCGCGCAAACAUGCAUGGGCCAUGCACGCGAUCGAUCGAGAAUCUACACCACAUGGACGGCCGGGCUGUGGCGGCUCACGAAGACGUCGACCACGUCUCUGUUGGGCAGCAUCGCCGGCGGCGCGGCUGCUUCAGCAGCGCAGCUCCUGUUGGGAACCGCCGCCAUCUGGGCGACGACUGGGUGCACCCCGGAGCUCCUCUCGGGGAGUGCGGGGCUGAGCUUGGCGAUGUUGACGAGGACGUGCUCGUCUGCAGCUGAGGGAAGCUUGCCGCCGGCAUCCUUGCCCUCGGCAACCGCUACCGGCGUCUUGUUCAUGUACAACACGUACAGCACCAUCUGGACCACGCCAAAGGUGAACCCAAGGAUGUUUGGAAGCUGCAUGCAGAGAUAUGAGAGUUGUUUAUCGUCAGUAGGACACAUCACAAAAUGCUAAUAAAGAAAUAAAGAGCAAUUAGAUACCAUGGUGGUUAAAACAAAUUAACUUAAAAUAAUUAGCGCGACGUAUUUGUCCAAUCAUAGACUAACUAGGAUCAAAAGAUUCGUCUCGCGAUUUACAAUCAAACUGUGUAAUUAGUUUUUGUUUUCGUCUAUAUUUAAUGUUUCAUGCAUGUGCCGCAAGAUUCGACGUGACAGUGAAUCUUAAAAACUUUUUAAAUUUUGGGAUAAACUAAACAAGGCCUUAGAUACCAUGGUGGUUGCAGCAAAUUAAAUUAAAUUAAAAUAAUUACCGCAACAUAUUUGUCCUUGAUGAGGAGGCCGUAGAGGAACCAGACGACGGCGCUGAGGGUGAGAGAGAGAGAGAGCGAGAAGGGCAUGUACUCCACGCUCUUGGUCUGGAUCACACGCUUCUGCACGUAC
rnacentral:lncRNA from 1 species